rnacentral:rRNA from 1 species
GGGUUUGAUCCUGGCUCAGAACGAACGUUGGCAGCGUGGAUUAGGCAUGCAAGUCGAACGAGGACUGGGAGCUUGCUCCCAGAGCCGAGUGGCGGACGGGUGAGUAAUGCAUGGACAAUCUGCCCGGCGGUAGGGGAUAACCCUCCUAACGGGGGGCUAAUACCGAUUAUACGAUGGAAGAGUCGCAUGGCUCUUCCAUGAAAGGCGGGGAUCCUUUCGGGGACCUGUCGCCGCCGGAGGAGUUCAUGUCGUAUUAGCUUGUUGGUGAGGUAACGGCUCACCAAGGCUAUGAUGCGUAGCCGGCCUGAGAGGGUGUUCGGCCACAUUGGGACUGAGACACUGCCCAAACUCCUACGGGAGGCUGCAGUCGAGAAUCUUCUGCAAUGGGCGCAAGCCUGACAGAGCGACGCUGUGUGUGCGAUGAAGGCCUUCGGGUUGUAAAGCACUGUCAAGGGGUAGGAAUAAGCGAACGCUAAUACCGUUCGUGAUGACUAUCCCCUAAAGGAAGCUCCGGUUAAAUUCGUGCCAGCAGCCGCGGUAAGACGAAUGGAGCGAACGUUGUUCGGAAUCACUGGGCUUAAAGGGCGCGUUAGGCGGCUUGUUAGGUCAAGGGUGAAAGCCCCGGGCUCAACCUGGGAAUUGCCCUUGAAACCGGCAGGCUAGAGGACAGGAGGGGAGAGCGGAAUUCCAGGUGUAGCGGUGGAAUGCGUAGAUAUCUGGGAGAAGGCCGGUGGCGAAGGCGGCUCUCUGGUCUGUUUCUGACGCUGAAGUGCGAAAGCUGGGGGAGCAAACAGGAUUAGAUACCCUGGUAGUCCCAGCCGUAAACGAUGAGCACUACCUAGUGGAUGUUCCAAGACAUUCACUGGGAUCGUAGUGAAAACCUUAAGUGCUCCGCCUGGGGAGUAUGGUCGCAAGGCUAAAACUCAAAGGAAUUGACGGGGGCUCACACAAGCGGUGGAGCAUGUUGUUCAAUUCGAAACAACGCGCAGAACCUUACCCGGGCUUGACAUGGUGGGAUUAACCCGUCGAAAGGCGGGGGAUUACCGGCAACGGUGUAACCAUCACAGGUGUUGCAUGGCUGUCGUCAGCUCGUGUCGUGAGAUGUCGGGUUAAGUCCCUUAACGAGCGAAACCCUUGUCCUUAGUUACCAGCGGGUAAUGCCGGGGACUCUAGGGAUACUGCCGGUCAUAAACCGGAGGAAGGUGGGGAUGACGUCAAGUCCUCAUGGCCCUUACGCCCGGGGCUACAAACGUGCUACAAUGGAGUGUACAAUGAGAAGCGAGACCGCGAGGUGGAGCAAAUCUUGAAAGCACUCCCUAGUUCAGAUUGUAGGCUGCAAUUCGCCUACAUGAAGCUGGAAUCGCUAGUAAUCGCGGAUCAGCUGGCCGCGGUGAAUAUGUUCCUGAGCCUUGUACACACCGCCCGUCAAGCCACCCGAGUCGAUCGCACCCGUAGUCCGUGACCCAACCCGUUUCGGCGGGAGGGAGCGGCCGAAGGUGAGGUCGGUAAGGGGGACUAAGUCGUAACAAGGUA